AACGUAGAUAACUUAAAACAUAAUAAAUAUUUCUCUUGCUGCUAUUUUUUUUGUGUUAAAACUAAUUCGUGCUGGUUCUUAAGUUCACUAGGAAACCCUUACUGUAAUGGCUUUCUUAGAUAAAGUUCUCAAAGCUGGACAGGAGUUGGUUUUAUCUGAACUUCAAGAAACCACAUUUCUUCAACUUGUCAACAAAUCCAGUUGCGAUAUAAUGGAUGCUACCAUGUCAUCAAUGGAUCAGCUUGACUGGAUUAACGCUGGUCCCCUUUUCGAUAGAGCAUACAUCCCCUGUAACACAUCAGCAGAAAGAGUAGCAAAAAUAAAUAAAAAUACUGUCCAUUGUCCUUUUGAAAUGACGUUGUUAUUUAGCGAUCGAACUUCUGAUAAAUUUAGGAUGCAUCAGAAAUAUCCCAUUGAUCGGUGUGCAGGCUUUCAACACCUUUAUGGCCCACAUGACAUUUCCUACUCAUCUUCCGGGAAUAAAGUGAUUAUAACAAUCAGGGAUAAAUAAUAUUUUCCAAUCCGGAAUUAUUAUCAUUGUCAGCAUAUAUAAAAAUAUGUUUUCGGCUUCAAAUUGAUAUUACAAUGCGUUUUUAAAUGAUUCUCAUUUAGUUAAAUUUGAAAUUGGUUUACAUGGAAAAAAAUUUGUGCCGCUCUGCUUAAGUAAAUCCUCUGUCAAUAAAUGUCAGAUCUGUCAGUUAAGAAAUUUAAUUAAUCUCUUUUAAAAAUUUCGUUAAAAUGCAACUAAAUUGUUACACUUUGCAAGAAAACACUUUUAUUGUCGAAGUUUAUUUCCGAAUUCACGAAUUGGAGUCUUAAUAAAUAGAGAAUAGUAAUAUUCGAUGUCUAAAUGCCUUUCACUAGUUACAUGAAGCGGCAUUUUCUGAUUUUACAUGAGUAAUUCACAGACGACUACAUGAGAAUCAUUUAAAAACACAUUGUAUAAUUCUUUUUAUCAGAGUAAAUAAAAUUUUAGCAAAA